rnacentral:rRNA from 1 species
CCUACGGGGGGCAGCAGUGAGGAAUAUUGGUCAAUGGGCGCGAGCCUGAACCAGCCAAGUAGCGUGAAGGAUGACUGCCCUACGGGUUGUAAACUUCUUUUAUAAAGGAAUAAAGUGAGGCACGUGUGCCUUUUUGUAUGUACUUUAUGAAUAAGGAUCGGCUAACUCCGUGCCAGCAGCCGCGGUAAUACGGAGGAUCCGCGCGUUAUCCGGAUUUAUUGGGUUUAAAGGGAGCGUAGAUGGGGUGUUAAGUCAGUUGUGAAAGUUUGCGGCUCAACCGUAAAAGUGCAAUUGAUACUGGCAGUCUUGAGUACAGUUGAGGUAGGCGGAAUUCGUGGUGUAGCGGUGAAAUGCUUAGAUAUCACGAAGAACUCCGAUGGCGAAGACAGCUUACUAAACUGCCACUGACAUUGAGACUCGAAAGUGUGGGUAGCAAACAGGAUUAGAUACCCCGGUAGUC